CUCUCUCAUCUUUCGUUCUGCUCUCAUCUCUCCUUCCUCUUUCAUUCCCAUCUCGUUCUGCUCUCAUCUCUCGUGUGAGGUCUUCGAUUUUCGUUCGAAUCUUGUUCGAGUUAAAGCAAGUGGUGAACGGUUAGAGAGACAGUUAGACCGGCGGCACCGUCACCUGCAACGCUUCCGACUAAGACACCGUCACCUUUAACGGCCUCCGGUACCGGCGCUUCAAAGGUUUUUUUUUUUUUUUUUCCUGUUAAAGCUUACAAAACCCUAAUAUAAAUCUCUCUUUCGCUCAAUUUUUUCCCCAAUUACAAGUAAGUUUCUUCUCUUUUUCGCUUAAUUCAUCUUUAUAUUCUUUUAUGCUGUAUUUUUUGUUGAUUUUGUUAUAGAUUUAGUUGAAAUUUGUGGUAUUACGUUGUAUUUUUGAUUUAUUUUUUUUAAUCUUCGUUUUUUUGCUCAAUUUUUUCCCCAAUUUCAAGUAAUGUUUUUGCUAACCUUGGCUGUGUAGAAUCUGUAGAUUGUGUAUUGUGCGUUCUUUGAUUUUGGAACUUGACUCGUUAUUUUGGGUUCACUGUUUCUUUUUUUCUUUUUCUUUUUUUAUUCAAUAACUUUGCUAUGAAUCUGAGUUUGUUUUGAUAAAUAAUUAGUUUAAUUCAUUAUAAUUGGCCUAUGAACAAGUUGAGUUUCACUAUAUUCAUACUGAUUAAAAUUUGUAUGCAUUAGGCAAUUUUUUCAAGCAUUGGAUCUGAGUGUCAAUUUUUGUUUGCUUCAAUGUGUUUAUGAUGGAUAUUUUGUAGGGCUUCAAUUUGAGAACAAUUGUGAAGUGGGUGUAAUCUCUAAGUUGACUAAUGCAUAUUGUUUGGUCGCAAUUGGCAGGUCUGAGAACUUUUACAGUAUAUUUGAAUCCGAGUUGGCGGAUUAUAUUCCCGUUGUAAAGACCUCAUGGCAGGAAACAAAAACGGGCUUCUUGUGCCUCACUCGACUACUGACCAGGGCAGGUUAUGCCAUUGUAAGGAUAGGAGCACCAUGGAUAAUUCGUGGAAGAGGGAUCAUUGCAAAUGGUUGUAUCAGCUGAAGAUCAAUGCUCCUGUGUAGUUGUUUCUGUUUUGUUGAUGUUAUCUGUGAGGCUGUGUCUGCUCAGCUGGUUGUCCUGUUCAGCUAUUAGAUGCUAGUUCUUUUAUCUUGAUUACUGCAGGGUUGGUUUUCCUGUCUGUGUUGCUGUGAGCUGCUGUUUCUGCUACAGUGUUGUGUCUGCUGUGUUGUGAUGUCGAGUUUUCCUAUGUUGAUGUGAUGCGCUGCUGUGUUGGUGUUGCUGUGUUGCUGUCUGCUUUCUUUUGCAGUGCUGUGUUGCUGGUUUCUAGGGUGCUGUGAUGCUGAGUUGAUGUGCUUGCUCUGCUGCUUUGGUGUUGCGCUGUGUUUUGUUAUUUUUGUAGCCUGUUGAGCUGCUUAGUUUGGGCUGCUUAGUUCGAUGUUUGCUGUUUAUAUGCUUCAUUAGAACAGGUUUUUGGAGUAUUAAAAGUAAAUUUCUGUAACUUUAUAUAUAUGUUAGUGUUUAUAUA